rnacentral:rRNA from 1 species
CGCCUGGGGAGUACGGGUGAGGUAACGGCUCACCAAGGCGACGACGGGUAACCGGCCUGAGAGGGUGACCGGUCACACUGGGACUGAGACACGGCCCAGACUCCUACGGGAGGCAGCAGUGGGGAAUAUUGCACAAUGGGCGAAAGCCUGAUGCAGCAACGCCGCGUGAGGGAUGAAGGCCUUCGGGUUGUAAACCUCUUUUAGCAGGGAAGAAGCGAAAGUGACGGUACCUGCAGAAAAAGCACCGGCUAACUACGUGCCAGCAGCCGCGGUAAUACGUAGGGUGCAAGCGUUGUCCGGAAUUAUUGGGCGUAAAGAGCUCGUAGGCGGUUUGUCACGUCUGCUGUGAAAAUCCAAGGCUCAACCUUGGACUUGCAGUGGGUACGGGCAGGCUAGAGUGCGGGGGGGGAGAUGGGAAUUCCUGGUGUAGCGGUGGAAUGCGCAGAUAUCAGGAGGAACACCAAUGGCGAAGGCACAUCUCUGGGCCGUAACUGACGCUGAGGAGCGAAAGCGUGGGGAGCGAACAGGAUUAGAUACCCUGGUAGUCCACGCCGUAAACGGUGGGUGCUAGCUGUGGGCCACAUUCCACGUGGUCCGUGACGAAGUUAACACAUUAAGCACCCCGCCUGGGGAGUACGG